UGCCUGGUAGCCCGUGGUCGCCGCCGCAGCCUCCCCUCCACCUCGCCUUCCUUCUCUUCCCCGUCCACUCGUCAUCAACGACACCAUGGAAGGACAGGGAAAGGAGAAAGGGAUCCCGUCGGUGAAGGGAAGGAGAAAGGGAGCCCGGGGAGGAGCUCGAGCCGAGGAGAGCGGCCUCGAUCCAGACUCAGCAGGAGCAGAGGAGCACCGCGCGAGCCGGCACGCACCUCGUCGCAAAUCGUGCAGCAAGCUGAAGACGCGGCAAGAGCGGUGGUCUUGACGGCGAUGGCGGCCGGGAGAUAGAAGAUGAGGAAGAGUGAAGGAAGGGGAGGAGGGACAAAGAGAGGACAGAGGAGAGGGAGGUGCAGCGGCCUGAGAAGAAUACUGCAGGGAAAGAGGAGGAGGUCAAUCGUGUCCCUGGGGUGCCGAGCAGAUCCCCACCAGGGGUGGACUGGCACUUGGAGCCGCCGCCGCCGCCAUUCCGCCUCCCUCCUCUCUGUCCGACGACCACGCAACCCGGAGGAAGCCGCCGCCCAAGAAGGUCCGGGGACGCCCGUUGGCGAGCUUCAACCACCCACAUCGGGGCAGAGGGAGCCGCACGCGUGGCCAGCAAGUGGACCGACGGGAAAGACGCGCGCCGCGGGCUCGAUAGGGAGAAGAGAUGAAGGGGGCGCGUGUGGGCGGCUGGCCGACGGGGAAACCAUCGCGUCUCUACCGCGUCUACGAACUGCAGAGCAGGCAUGUCUUCAUGGUGCUUUCGGAGGGGCAGGGCCCCUGAGGAAAAGUGGUGGUUGGGGAGGAGGACGCCCUUGUCCUUGGUGUCCGGGCCGCCAUGGCUGACGCCGGAGCCGUUGGUUGGCCUUGAGGUCAUCCGUCGUUGGCGUCCUCGUCAUCCAUCCAACCACCAGGGAGGAGAUUCCUGAGGCAUUUGAUUCUUGUGGGAUCCCAACACAUCUUGCAAGAUCAACAACAAGUGGCUGGGCCUCUACAUUAUUCAGAAAAGCUAUUUUUAUCUUUCAUUUAUUUGUCUAAUUUAUGUGCCCGUGUAUUCGCCUCCGUUCCGCUCUUGUUGAAGUUCCAACGAAUUUCUGUGCUACCUAAGAGGUACUAAUGCUCAUAUAUUACAAUUUGGUACCCACGACCUUCAGUCACGGGAUCUUGAGAAAAGCAGUUUAGGCAUUUUGUUUGUGUCAACUAUACAGAAUCCCUGCGGUUCGAUUUUUGGUUUGUAGGCAACCAACACAAUAUGCAGGCAAACAGAGAUGAGGUUUUGCUGUAGUAGGCAAAUAUUCAUUGUCCAUUUUAUGUGUUUGUAGGCAACUGAAGUACUCAACCUGUAUAUAUCCAUUAAUUCAUGUACAAGCCAAUCUUUUUUGGCAUAUCCGUUGCAUGAUCAACCUAUGUAUGUUUGUAAUUUUGCCUUACUAAGCUGCUAUACAUAUACUCAGUUUGUCUUUACUGAGCUGCUAUACAUACACUCAAUCUUGUGGUGAUUACAGCUUUGAGCUUGCAACUGAACCUUAAGACUACUAAUUACUUUUGUGGAUGGUUAAACCUGAAAUCUGAAACAAAAUCUGGUAGCAGUCUUGCCCCCCUCAGCAAAAAAAUAUGCAUUGAGGUCAGCUAUCUUCAACGUCCCUUUUUUCGUUUCAGUAAUGCAUGACCAUAGCGUGACAUGAAGUUCUAUCUUGAUCCUUGCCAUGCUACUGCUUUGUUGAACCAUCUCAAGGCGUAUGGACCUGGUUCUUUUUAAGCACAAUUUUCUUUUAUUGUCUUUACAUGCUCAUUUAAUUCGUUUAUGUUUCCUUUUCCGUUGCGGUGGUGGAUGAUAUAUUCUCUGCCAUGAAUGGAUGUUUUUGGCGUUGUGAGAUGGCGUAGGUAACUGAUGAGCUAUGUUUUUAAGGCAGUAAGGCGAGGCAAGGCGCUGGGGGGGCGCCUCACCGCCUAAGCGAAUUGAGUGUGUAUGAACAAAGCAAUAGAGGUUGUGUUAAUUCCUAGAGCCUAAUAUGUUCUUUUGUCUCCUGGUGAUUAGUUCGAAUGGCCGUGUGAGUUUCGCCGGCCUGUCUCGGCUCAUGUUAGGCACCAUGUCUCGGCUCAUGUCACGGUGACAUGGUGUCUAUAGCCUGUUGGGGCGCCUGCGGCCGCGUGGCAAUUAAUUAAUUCUCAUUCAACGUAAUUUACUUCUCCCCCUUUAUGUAUCAUGGAUGGAUAUACAUGGUGGUUGGCUGUUAUUAUCGAAGCAAGAGUUACUGAUGAUGACUACAUUUGAGCUGGUUUGCUGCUUACAAAUCGUUCACGGGAUAUCUCAUAACUGAAACCAUGAACAACAAGUGCUUCGGUUCUGGUGUUGGCGAUCCAUUGCUUGAGGCGACAUCGUGUGCAAGAUUAUUCUUGUGGAGGCCACUGGCAUGGUGGCACCCUCCUGGGCCUGCUGAUCCCAUUACCCAGGUUAGCUUAUUCCCCUUUCCUCAUGCCUGAUUCCUAUUUUUGUGUUGCUCUGUUCGAUUUGGAGUUUCCCCCAUGUUCCAUGAGAUGCCUUGGCGAUGGCUGAGGCCUCCUGUUAGAAUGUGAUUGAUGUGGUGUUCACGGUGAGAUAAAGUUCGAGGUCCAUUUGAUCCGUAGUUAUUCUUCCAACAUAUUUUGUGGCUCUCAUAAAAUUUGGAUGACAUCCCGAAUUUGAACUGGGCGAGGUAUGUCAUGAACGACAUUAUAUCAGUAGCACGGGCAUUGGGCAACAAACUCACUGAUGAGACAAAAGCCACCUUUUUCCUAUAAACAUCGCUAGGCUACCCGCUAUUCUGAGGCUCCCGUGUGCACUACCCUCUGUCCCGAAUUAUUUCCCCAUUUCUCCUUGGUCUAAACUCUAAAAAUCCACAUAAGAUUCCAGGAAGGUUUAGCUCAGCUAGAUUUUGUCAUGUAUUUAAAACAAGUUCAUGUAUAAUGUUUUAUAAAUAAUUCAAUUGAGGUAAAUCAACAAGUCUAUAUUUGGUUUAGCAUGGAUUUUUGGGGAUUCAAUCUUCGUCUUUGCUA